rnacentral:rRNA from 1 species
AGUGAACGCUGGCGGUAGGCCUAACACAUGCAAGUCGAACGGCAGCACAGUAAGAGCUUGCUCUUACGGGUGGCGAGUGGCGGACGGGUGAGGAAUACAUCGGAAUCUACUUUUUCGUGGGGGAUAACGUAGGGAAACUUACGCUAAUACCGCAUACGACCUACGGGUGAAUGCAGGGGAUCUUCGGACCUUGCGCGAUUGAAUGAGCCGAUGUCGGAUUAGCUAGUUGGCGGGGUAAAGGCCCACCAAGGCGACGAUCCGUAGCUGGUCUGAGAGGAUGAUCAGCCACACUGGAACUGAGACACGGUCCAGACUCCUACGGGAGGCAGCAGUGGGGAAUAUUGGACAAUGGGCGCAAGCCUGAUCCAGCCAUACCGCGUGGGUGAAGAAGGCCUUCGGAUUGUAAAGCCCUUUUGUUGGGAAAGAAAAGCAGCAGGUUAAUACCCCGCUGUUCUGACGGUACCCAAAGAAUAAGCACCGGCUAACUUCGUG